ACCGGCAGCUCAAGUGGUGGCCAUUUUUAUUGGGCCUAAAGCGUUCGUAGCCGGUUUGAUAAGUCUCUGGUGAAAUCCCGCAGCUUAACUGUGGGACUUGCUGGAGAUACUAUUAGACUUGAGGUCGGGAGAGGUUAGGGGUACUCCCAGGGUAGGGGUGAAAUGCGACGAGACUGGGAGGAACAACGGAAGGGAAGGCGCGCAUCUGGAACGAACCUGACGGUGAGUUGCGAGAGUGAGGGGAUCGAACCG
rnacentral:rRNA from 1 species